rnacentral:rRNA from 1 species
UAGGGAAUAUUAGUAAUGGGCGAAAGCCUGAACUAGCAACACCGCGUGUGCGAAGAAGGCCUUCGGGUUGUAAAGCACUUUUUGAGAGGAUGAGGAAGGACGGUACUCUCAGAAUAAGUCUCGGCUAACUACGUGCCAGCAGCCGCGGUAACACGUAGGAGGCAAACGUUAUCCGGAUUUACUGGGCGUAAAGCGCGUGUAGGUGGUUUGGUAAGUAGAGCGUGAAAGCUCCUGGCUCAACUGGGAGAGGUCGUUCUAAACUGCCGGACUAGAGGAUGGUAGAGGGAGGUGGAAUUCCGGGUGUAGCGGUGGAAUGCGUAGAUAUCCGGAGGAACACCAGUGGCGAAAGCGGCCUCCUGGACCACUCCUGACACUCAGACGCGAAAGCUAGGGUAGCGAACG